rnacentral:rRNA from 1 species
GACGAACGCUGGCGGCGUGCUUAACACAUGCAAGUCGAACGGUAAGGCCCUUCGGGGUACACGAGUGGCGAACGGGUGAGUAACACGUGGGUGAUCUGCCCUGCACUUCGGGAUAAGCCUGGGAAACUGGGUCUAAUACCGGAUAGGACCCUGGGAUGCAUGUCCUGGGGUGGAAAGCUUUUGCGGUGUGGGAUGGGCCCGCGGCCUAUCAGCUUGUUGGUGGGGUGAUGGCCUACCAAGGCGACGACGGGUAGGCGGCCUGAGAGUGUGAACGGCCACACUGGGACUGCGGUACGGCCCAGACUCCUACGGGAGGCAGCAGUGGGGAAUAUUGCACAAUGGGAGCAAGGGUGAUGCAGCGACGCCGCGUGAGGGAUGACGGCCUUCGGGUUGUAAACCUCUUUCAGCACCGACGAAGCGCAAGUGACGGUAGGUGCAGAAGAAGGACCGGCCAACUACGUGCCAGCCGCCGCGGUAA